rnacentral:rRNA from 1 species
GAUGAACGCUGGCGGCGUGCCUAAUACAUGCAAGUCGAGCGAACAGAUGAGAUACUUUCUCCUCUGACGUUAGCGGCAAACGGGUGGUUAACACGUGGAUAACCUGCAUAUAAGACUGGGAUAACUUCGGGAAACCGGUGCUAAUACCGGAUAAUAUAUGUAACCACAAGUUUCAAUAGGGAAAGACGGUUUUGCUCUCACUUGUAGAUUAAUGCGUUCCGAAGUAGCUAGUUGGUAAGGGAACUGCUUAACAAGGCAACGAUGCUGAGCCGACAUGAGAGGGAGAACGGCCACACUGGCACAGAGAGACGGUCCCGACACUGAAGGGAGGACGCAGUCGGGACUCUUACGCAAUGCGCGAAUACCUAACGGAGCAAAGCCGCGUGAGUCAUGACGGUCUUCGGAGCGUAAACGUUUGUUAUCAGCGAAGAACAAAUGUGUAAGUACCUAUGCACGUAUUGACGGUACCUAACCAGACAGCCACGGCUAACUACGUG